GACGAACGCUGGCGGCGUGCCUAAUACAUGCAAGUCGAACGCUUCUUUCCUCCCGAGUGCUUGCACUCCAUUGGAAAGAGGAGUGGCGGACGGGUGAGUAACACGUGGGUAACCUACCCAUCAGAGGGGGAUAACACUUGGAAACAGGUGCUAAUACCGCAUAACAGUUUAUGCCGCAUGGCAUAAGAGUGAAAGGCGCUUUCGGGUGUCGCUGAUGGAUGGACCCGCGGUGCAUUAGCUAGUUGGUGAGGUAACGGCUCGCCAAGGCCACGAUGCAUAGCCGACCUGAGAGGGUGAUCGGCCACACUGGGACUGAGACACGGCCCAGACUCCUACGGGAGGCAGCAGUAGGGAAUCUUCGGCAAUGGACGAAAGUCUGACCGAGCAACGCCGCGUGAGUGAAGAAGGUUUUCGGAUCGUAAAACUCUGUUGUUAGAGAAGAACAAGGACGUUAGUAACUGAACGUCCCCUGACGGUAUCUAACCAGAAAGCCACGGCUAACUACGUG
rnacentral:rRNA from 1 species